CUGCAGAGUGGUGUUUGUGCUGCGUGGUAGUGCAGCCUGGGCAAGGGUUGGACCAUGUUCACCAGGGCCAUCCCGCUCGCUGGGAAGCUGGGUGUAGCCAUCACCACUGGUCACGUAGGACAUUGUGCAGCACGGUGCAGGCGAGGACAAUCUUGUCCACAGUCUCUGGCUGCAGGUGGAUUUUUGUGGUGAAGACACGCCAGCGGUUUGCUAGUAUGCCAAAGGCAUUUUCCACCACCCUCCGUGGUCUUGAAAGCCUGUAAUUAGAGAUAUAAUGAUUGUUGAAAGAGAGAGUGAUCUUGUGGAGGGACUGGACGAGGAAGAGGACGUGGAAGUAGAGGAGAGCAGUGAACCUGAGGGACAAGGCAGCACCUGCCUCGUCCCUCAGGUUCAGAAGGUCGCAGGCAGUAAAAGAAAGAGGCAAACAGAAAAGCAAGAAGAUGAGGUCCUAAGUGCCGUUGGCAAUUUUCUGAGACACAGGAUGGAACAGAGGGAGGAGGACACAAUGUCAAUCUUUUGUAAGAACCUCGAGAUGAAAAUGAGGCGAAUCAAGGACCCAAAUAUUUUAUUAGAUUUAGAGCACCAGCUGGAGGAAGCCUGCUACCAGGCUUCACUUAAAGAUAGAGACAACCAAGCCCCCCAAGGCACAGAAAGGAAAGGUAAUCCCUAAUAGUCACAUCACUCUAAAAUAUCUCUGUGACGUCAUCGAACACAAAUGGGCGACGUUUUAUUUGUGAUGCAAUGGUCUUCCAUCCCAGCUACAUCACCAUGUGAUCGCUUACACCAUGAUGAGAUGGAAAUGAUCCUCGAAACACGUUAUUUAUUGAACAGGAUAACUUACUGCUCAGCAUUGAUGCGAUUUAUACAAGCCAAGAAAUAAUAUAUUUUUUAAAUUGUAUUGAUGUAGAAUAGUAAUUUCAGAUCAUAAAUAUCAAGGGCUUUAACCAUUUGAAUUGGUGAUGAUAAAAUAGAAAGGUUGUUCUGCGUUAUAGCUCGAUUUUGCAAUCGGUACAGGUUAUUUGCCAAAUCUACAUCAGUUCUGUUGGUUUCCAAAUAAAACUCUAAACUCAUCC
ensembl:lncRNA